rnacentral:lncRNA from 1 species
GGAAAUACCAAGGUUAUAAUACCCCAACCAACCUCUUCUCCUUUCCCUUACCUUUCCUGUCACCCUAAGGCUUUGGGUGAGGUGCAAGGUAGCUCCUCACUGGGCAAAAGUUGGGAAUUUAAGAUCCAAACCAAAUAUGUAAGAACUCCACAUUCUGUUGCUCCUAAGCCCUAACUGGAGAACACUCUUAACAAACCUUUCAAUGUGCAAAGGUUUACCCAGCUUCUCUCCACUGCCAUGUUUUCAUACCCCACUGGAUCACACACAACAAGGAUUGCAAAUUAAGAUCUGUUUGCAAUCAGUAUUUUAGCUUUCUUUCUAUUUUCAUGUAUCUGAGAAAGGGUUGCCAAAUGGCUAACAGAUGCUGUGAUUCUGGAGAAAGACAUCCCUCUGAUGUAAACCCAGACAAAAUGAAAGAGGGGGUGGGGGAGGGAGAGGAGAGAGGCAGGUAGAAUAAGUGACCUGAUUCCUAGUCCCAGCUAAAAAUGAGACUAGACCCUGUGAACGGGACUUUGACUUUGUGGUCUUAGGCGAGCAAUUUUCUGGCCCUCAGCCCCUAGAUUUUUCCCCUACAAAAUGAGUGAAUUGGACGAAAUCUCAAGGUUCUACAGUUUUAUGAUUCUAAGGUCCCUCACAGCUCAAUCAUUCUAUGUUUUUGAUCUGAAAUUUUAUAUUUUAUGUCUCUUCUGUAUUUAACAUUCUGUUGUUUCAAUACUUUAUUGUCCUAAGUCCUUUCACAUUCUCCAGCUCUUACAUUCUAUAGUCUGUGUUCUAAGGUCCCUUUCAGUUGUAACAUUCUGUGUUCUAUGUCAUGAAGUCCCUUCCAGCUUUCACAUUCUGUUCUUUUGUGACAUAGCACAGAUUGGGAUGAUUUAUUUUUUCUUGUAGCUGGAAAGGGCUGGGAAUCCUAAAAUGCAUUGGCCAUAAUUAUACAUUGGAGACCAAAGGUCAGGAGCUUUGCAUAUACAAAUAUGUACACUGUCAAGCAAUAAGCGAGACCCAGUCUGACAGAUCCACCUUUUACCAAGGGACAGCACUGAAAUCACCCAGUCCCGGCAAUGAAAACAGCAAGCAACUAUGGAAUGGAGAGAGGCUCAGGAGUAAAAAGCUGGUUAGAGGAGAAGGAACUUCUCUACUGAUGGAAAGUUCCCUGGGGAUGGAGGAGAGAAAUUAACCCAAUCUGGCUACUUCCCCUUAGCGAGUCAACAUAGCAGAGAUCCAGCCUCACAUCCCUAGUGCUCCAACGGAACACUGUCAUUGAAACCACUCACCCCUCCAAAAAAAAAGUCUAAAUAAGAGAAAACAUGCAGUUAUAGAUGAGAGAAUAAGCAAAUAGGGAGGGGAGGGCUGAUACAAGACUUUUUGUGUCAGGAUAGAAAGACAAAUAGCAAAAAGAACAAGAGAGAACGCCUCGAUGAAAUCUCAGACAUAAGCAGAUAAACUGACAGGGACACUUAAAGAAAGAAAGGAAUAUGAACAAAGAAUCUAGAAAAGGGAUACAGCACAAUAAAUCAGUACUACAUAAUAAGGAAACCCCCA